rnacentral:rRNA from 1 species
CAGUCGCCGCGGGAAUACCGAGGGUGCAAGCGUUAAUCGGAAUUACUGGGCGUAAAGCGCGCGUAGGUGGUUCGCCAAGUUGGAUGUGAAAUCCCCGGGCUCAACCUGGGAUCUGCAUCCAAAACUGGCGAGCUAGAGUAUGGUAGAGGGUGGUGGAAUUUCCUGUGUAGCGGUGAAAUGCGUAGAUAUAGGAAGGAACACCAGUGGCGAAGGCGACUACCUGGACUGAUACUGACACUGAGGUGCGAAAGCGUGGGGAGCAAACAGGAUUAGAUACCCCCGUAGUCCCUGUCUCUUAUAC